GAUGAACGCUGGCGGCGUGCCUAAUACAUGCAAGUCGAGCGAACGGACGAGAAGCUUGCUUCUCUGAUGUUAGCGGCGGACGGGUGAGUAACACGUGGAUAACCUACCUAUAAGACUGGGAUAACUUCGGGAAACCGGAGCUAAUACCGGAUGAUAUUUUGAACCGCAUGGUUCAAAAGUGAAAGACGGUCUUGCUGUCACUUAUAGAUGGAUCCGCGCUGCAUUAGCUAGUUGGUAAGGUAACGGCUUACCAAGGCAACGAUGCAUAGCCGACCUGAGAGGGUGAUCGGCCACACUGGAACUGAGACACGGUCCAGACUCCUACGGGAGGCAGCAGUAGGAAAUCUUCCGCAAUGGGCGAAAGCCUGACGGAGCAACGCCGCGUGAGUGAUGAAGGUCUUCGGAUCGUAAAACUCUGUUAUUAGGGAAGAACAUAUGUGUAAGUAACUGUGCACAUCUUGACGUUACCUAAUCAGAAAGCCACGGCUAACUACGUG
rnacentral:rRNA from 1 species